rnacentral:rRNA from 1 species
UACGUAGGGUGCAAGCGUUGUCCGGAAUUAUUGGGCGUAAAGAGCUCGUAGGCGGUUUGUCGCGUCGGCUGUGAAAAACUCGGGGGCUCAACCCCCGAGCCUGCAGUCGAUACGGGCAGACUAGAGUGCUGUAGGGGAGACUGGAAUUCCUGGUGUAGCGGUGAAAUGCGCAGAUAUCAGGAGGAACACCGGUGGCGAAGGCGGGUCUCUGGGCCGAUACUGACGCUGAGGAGCGAAAGCGUGGGGAGCGAACAGG